GGUACACAGAAUUUUUCUUCUAGAUUAACAGCAGCAUGGUGCAGUGGGAAAACAUCAGACCCAAGUUGGGAGACUUGAAGUAUAGUUCUAAUACAGUAGUCAAGUCACUUAAUCUGUAUUUUAAUUUUCUAUCAACUCAAAUGAAGACUAGAUGAUCUUGAGGAUCUCUUUAAGAUGCCAUGAUUUUUAAGUUUAAGUAUUAGUUUAAAAUUCAACUCAACCCAUCAAUAAUACUCUCCAGCCAUUUUCUCACUGUGAUGCCCACAUUCUAGUCAUCAUCCUCAUCUUUUUAUCCUACCACUACCUUGGAAUACAUCCUGGGACAGCAGGUUCUGAUAGCUAUGUUGAGGAAAAAAAGGAGGAUAAAAAGGAUAGCAUUUGUGCUGGGGAUGGACAAGACAUUGACGACAUAAAGAAGGGUCAUACCGCUAACAAGGAUCUGAGGAAAGAUUCAAACUAAAGGAUUCCUGAUUUCAUAUCUACCACUCUAAGUAUUACCUUGUGAUGAUGAUAAAGGAUAACCAUUUGUUAACUGAAAAAGAUGCUAUGAUUAUAAAUAGCAGCACAUAAAAUCA